rnacentral:lncRNA from 10 species
CGGGGUGCUCAGUUUGGGACAGUGUUGACACUUUUGGAGAUCAUCAGCCAUCCCAGUAGGUGACUCCAGGAGGCCACUGGAUAUACAGCUCUGGGAACAAAAAACGGAAUCAUCAGCCUAUUUACAACUCUGGAAUGGAUGAGAUGGCUGUGACGACUGGCAGCAGCUGCGCCUGAGCCCUCAGCACCUGCAGGGUCCCAUGGGAGGCAUGUUUUCCACCAGCCACCCACGCUGAUUAGCUUGAGAGUGACUCAAGGCAGGAACGAUGCCCUUGUCGUAGAACAGCCUCUGAUCGAGUGCUUGCUGAACAGCUGGCUAGCUCUGAGCAUGAAGCAAAAUGCAGGAAGCUGGGGUGUGUGAGGAGGAGCAGGGACAGCUUAAAGAAGAGAGGAGGGAGAGGAGGGGGACUCCUGCUUGGGGCACCCCACCUCCUGGAUAUGAGAUCACUUGUGUGGAGCAGGCCUAGUAGCAGGUGAGAAGAGCCACAA